GCAGGCAGAGAGGGGAGAGAGAGAGAGACAGGCAGGCAGAGAGAGAGAGAGGGGGAGAGAGGGAGAGAGAGAGAGAGGCAGGCAGAGAGACAGAGAGAGACAGGCAGAGAGAGAGAGACAGCGAGACAGACAGAGGGGUAGAUAGACAGAGAGAGACAGGCAGAGAGAUAGAGAGAGAGACAGAGAGAGACAGGCAGAGAGACAGGUAGGUAGAGAGAGAGAGACAGGCAGAGAGACAGGUAGGUAGAGAGAGAGAGACAGGCAGAGAGACAGGUAGGUAGAUAGAGAGAGACAGGCAGAGAGAGAGAGACAGACAGAGAGAGAGAGACAGACAGGCAGAGAGAGCGAGACAGGCAGGCAGAGAGAUAGAGAGACAGGUAGGUAGAUAGAGAGACAGGCAGACAGACAGACAGACAGCGGGAUAGAGAGACAGACAGAGAGAUAGACAGAGAGAUAGAGAGACAGACAGAGAGAUAGAGAGAGACAGGCAGACAGAGAGAGAGACAGGCAGAGAGAUAGAGAGACAGGCAGACAGACAGACAGAUAGACAGACAGACGGAUGGAUAGACAGACACAGACAGACAGGUAGGUAGACAGAGAGACAGACAGAGAGAUAGAGAGAGAGACAGACAGAUGGAUAGACAGACAGACAGUCAGACAGACGGGUAGAUAGACAGACGGAUAGACAGACAGACAGACGGAUAGACAGACAGACGGAUGGAUAGACAGACACAGACAGACAGGUAGGUAGACAGAGAGACAGACAGAGAGAUAGAGAGAGAGACAGACAGAUGGAUAGACAGACAGACAGUCAGACAGACGGGUAGAUAGACAGACAGACAGAGAGAUAGACAGGUAGAUAGAUAGAGAGACAGACAGGCAGGCAGACAGACAGACAGACACUUUAUUUAUUCCGAGGGAAAUUCAAGCAUCCAUUAGCAGCAUACAAACAUAAAUUACAUUAAACAUACAUUAAAGUUAAAAUUAAGCUAUAGCACAGUAGCCAAACAUUAAAGUGGAUAAAUUAAAUAAAAUCAAAUAUGUGCCGAGAGAGAAAAUAAACUAGAAAAAAUAGAAAUGAAAACGUGUGCCUCCUCCCCCCCGAGUGAGGAGUUGUAGAGUGUGACGGCAGCCUUCCACUGAACAGGCUCCUCUGGCUGCUGAGGACGGUGUGCAGGAGGUGGCUGGCAUCGUCACUAAUGUCCAGCAGUGGUGGCUGGUGUGUGUUAGCCCUUUUUUAAAAGUGACAAAAAAUUCAAUUUAUUUGCAUUUUUAUAUCAAAAUCUGAUCUUUUCUUAAUAGAUUAGCUGUCAGAAAUGUUUAUCAGAAUUGUUUAUUGCCAAGUAGGUUUUUACACCUACGAGGAAUGUGACUCGGUGCAUUGCAACCACAGCUGUUAUCUCCCAGUGCAGACAGAUACACAGUUCAAUGCUGCAUGUACACAACAACAACAUUAUCAAGACAUAUUGGGACACAACCUGAACUUAAUAUUUGUGUUUUCUUCAGCUCAGAGACAGAAGAGCUCUUUCAGACUCGCUAACUGAAGCCUGCAGAUUAUUCUGAAGACGCUCAAAUCCAUAAACGACAAGGUACAAAGAUAUAAUUCAAGUUUUUAGUUCGGCAGCAGGGAAGAUGUGUGUAUUGAUCUCAAUAUUCAGCUGCUGUCAGAAACAUUUUUAAUAUAUCUAAUCACAGAAGCAUAGGGCAAUGUUGUGCAAAAGUACAAUAAAGAAUCACAAAAUAAGAAUAUUAUAAAAUAUUCUAUAAUGAGACUAUAAUGAAAAAUAUAUACACUAUAUGCAAUAUGCAGUAAAAUGGUGUGCAAAACAUCUUGAGCAGCUAGAUUUCAACCAGUGAUAUCACGGCAUUCACCCGUCAAUCAUUCUUCAACUGUUAGCGUAGGAUGGAGCCCUUUUCUAUCAUUUAAUAAACUGACGACUGAAUGAGUGACAUAUUUUAUGGAUAUUCUAUAUUAUAUUCAAAACUGUGCAAUGAACCCAAACGGUGAACUCAGCAACUGCAGGAAGUCGGUGUAAAACCAGUGAUUUGGAUGAAUUUUGAGCAGAUUUUUAUACAAUUAUCUGUCUUUAUUAUGUAUUUUCUAUUGUUUCUAACAGCCAUACAGACUUAAUAGGCUUCUUUUUUCAACAAAUUCAGCGUUUUCUUCUCCCUGAUGCUUUUAUUAGUACCGUUGUAGCGUUGGGGGCGGCAGUAGCUCGGUCUGCAGGGACUUGACUUGGCAACCAGAGGUUCACUGGCUCAAGUCCUCACCAUCUCUCCAUUUACUUAUAAGCCCUGUGAGUGUGUGUGUUGUGUGUGUGUGUGUGUGUGUGUGUGUGAUACUGUGUCUAUUUUUUAUGUUUUCUUACCCCCCUUAAAAUGAAGAAGGCCUUGCGACCCGCCGUGAAGCUUUGGCGACCCCUAGUGGGGUUCUCGACCCCCAGGUUGGGCACCACUAAACUACACACGGGUCGGGUGGAAGAUCUUUUAAAUGUAGUAAAGAAACACUCAGUUAAAUCUUACUUUGGAGUAAAAAUACAAAAAUAUUGGCAUCAGUAUUUACUUAAAGUACCUCAACGGAAGGUAUAAGGUAUUUUCAGUUAGCAACUAAAUAUCAAAAGUAAAAUUUGGAAGCUUUACUUAAAGUUGUCGUUGGUCAAGAUGGAGCUAAGUCAUAUAAAAUCAUACAUUUUUGUGUGUAAAAUCAUAAUUUGAAAAGAAACUAGUAACUAAAGCUCUUACAUAAUGUUCUUUUUUGUCAUUUAACAUCCUAAAAAAGAACCCGCUUGUCCAAAUACAAAAACAACAUGAUACACUGGCAAAAUAAAACCGAUUGCAGGAUAAAAACACACAAACAAGUUACAAUAACUUUCAGUUUCAGUGAUUAAUUAUCAGUAAUAUAUUGUUCCUUUUUCUGUCAAACAGGGACAGAACAGAAAAACUCCAGCUGAAGCAGUUUCAGGGUGAAAUGUCAGAAAAGAUAAGAAUAGACUUUUGCAUAAUGUUUAUUUGUAUCUGUGGUACAAGACUGAGUUUACACUGACAUUUAGGUACCAGAGCAUAUGUUUACAGUAUGGAAGUGUAUACUGUCAACAGAUAUGAGAAAGAUGACUAACCAAAGUCAGUCUGCUGGUGUAUUUUUACUAUAUAAAUGACUUAAAUUAUGAAUUUGUAUAUAUAUAUGUAAUGAUGUGAUAUUAGUAUGACUUUUUGACAGUUUUAAGGUUUAAUUUCAUACAUAUUGCCUGUUAGUUGGUCUUGUUUUUCAUCUCUUAUGAUUGUCUUUGUAUUAAAUGAUCAAUUAUAUUUGUUUAUUAUGGCUGCUGUCAUUUAAUCUCUGACAGAAAUAUAAGUAAAAUAAUACAUAAGUAGAUACAACUGCAAGAAAAUGUCCUCAGCUUAAGUCUGGCCUCAUGUAGAGGGAUUUAUUUUAAUAAAAUAAGACAUACAGUAGUUAAAAGCCACUGCAAUCAAAUGAAUUAAAGUAUUUUAUGAUCAUGAUAUUUAGUAAAAAGAGAUAAUCUCUUCUACGUUUUACUGAAAUGAUGCUGUAAUGGUGGAUUAUCUGUCAGUAAUUAGUAGUUAAGCUAUUGUUCAUGUCACUAAGUGAUCUACCUCAACAGGUUUAUCCAACUCAGACCACAGAAUAUUCAGAUCAGUUAACCACAGCUGUUAUCUCCCAGUGCAGACAUUAUCAAGACAUAUUGGGACACAACCUGAGCUUAAUAUUUGUGUUCUUCCGCUCAGAAACAGAAGAGCUCUUUCAGACUCGCUAACUGAAGUCCAUGAACGACUAGGCACCAGGGAAAAUGUGUAUUUAUCAGCAGACCAUUAUAAACUGGUCUGUUGAUUGAUUACGUCAUCAGCUGAUCAAUCAAUCUCCAUAUGUUGGAAGUCUUUCACACAAAGCAAGUUAAACCUUCCUGAGAAGGUUUUGGUGGCUCCAGCGGGAAUAAAUCCAGGGGGUGUACGAGCUACAGGUAAUGAAUCACAGCAAGCAGAGACAUCAGCGCGUUCAUGGAGAAAUGUUUCAGCGUCGGUGAAGACGAUUUGAGUCGAGGUUUGGUGUAGAUGUACGGAUGCUCCUGGGGAAAUGUAAAGAAAAAUGUGUUUGAAAGGAAACUUUAUUAUCUACAUACACAAACAGGAAACUCGUCAGCGUGUCAGUCGUGUGGUACCUUCGUGGGGCAGAUGAGUUUUAUUGGCUCUGAAAGUGUCUGUAUCAUCUCUUUCUCUCCCUCAGGCUGGAACUGAGGAAACAUUUGAACGUCAGUGUCAAAAUAAAACUUCAUGAAGAUGAA